rnacentral:rRNA from 1 species
UACGUAGGGUGCGAGCGUUGUCCGGAAUUAUUGGGCGUAAAGAGCUCGUAGGCGGCUUGUCGCGUCGACCGUGAAACCUCACAGCUCAACUGUGAGCCUGCGGUCGAUACGGGCAGGCUAGAGUUCGGUAGGGGAGACUGGAAUUCCUGGUGUAGCGGUGAAAUGCGCAGAUAUCAGGAGGAACACCGGUGGCGAAGGCGGGUCUCUGGGCCGAUACUGACGCUGAGGAGCGAAAGCGUGGGGAGCGAACAGG